rnacentral:rRNA from 1 species
CCCUUAGAUGUUCUGGGCAGCACGCGCGCUACAAUGGUCUUCGCAAACGGAUGCAUUCUCGAAGGAGAAUGCCAAUCUUGGAAUCUAUGCCUUGGUCGGGACAGUUGCUUGCAAUUUUUCGACUCGAACCAGGAAUUCCUUGUAAUCGUGAUUCAUCACAUCACGAUGAAUACGUCCCUGCCCUUUGUACACACCGCCCGUCGCACCUACCGAUUGAAUGGUCCGGUGAAAUCUCCAGACGUGGUUUUACCAUGAAAGCUGAUUGAAUCUUAUCAUUUAGAGGAAGGUGAAGUCGUAACA